AUGCUCGCUUCAGCAGCCCAUAUACUAAAAAACUGGAACCAUACAGAGAAGAUUAGCAUGGCCCCGAGCAAGGAUGACACGCAAACUCAUGAAGAAAAAAAAAAAAAA